rnacentral:lncRNA from 1 species
UGUUUAACAGGCUGCUUCUAUCUAGAUGCUGGUAGUUUUGAAAUAUUUCAUGAUUUCGUAGGGCGCGGUUUGUCGUUGCUACGUCUUCCCCUGCCCUUCCGGACCCCGUCUGGCAGAGUCCGGAAUGAACAGAAACGCCGGCAACCUGCCGAAGGCCACGAAUGAGGCCGAGCGGCAGCGGAACAUCCGGGCCGGCUCCCAGAUCAGCGAGCUCAACAACCCCUGCCUGAGCGAGCAAAGCCAGGUUCAAAAGUGCAUGGACAAGUCAGGUUACGACAAAGAGAAGUGUCAAUUACACAUGAACAAUUACAAUGCGUGCAAGAGGUUCUGGGGGGAGGUGCGGAGGCGACGCCGGAAAGAGGGCCUAGAGCCGGAACUUCCUCCCCCCGAGGAGAGGGCCGCCAUCAAAAAGGAGUUCCUCUCCAAGGGUCAUUUAUAGUAUACGGGAUUCGCGGGAAGGUGCGCGGCGUCGUGCAGGCUGCUUGUGGUUGAUGAUUGUGGAGCAUGGAACGCGUGGUGUGAUAGAAUACAUGCGUUUGGUACAGAUCACAA